UAGCUGAGUGGUAAAGCACUUGGCUUUCAAACCACGGGUCUCAGGUUCAAAUCCUGG
rnacentral:tRNA from 1 species